rnacentral:lncRNA from 1 species
UUUUUUUCUCUUUCUUUUGCAUUUGCUUUGUUUUUGUAAGCAAUUAGCAAAGCACAUGCGUUAGACAAGCUGUACAAGUUUUGUAUGUCGUCCGAUGCUUGAGCACAGGCCAGGUAGCUUUCGAAGAGAAGAUUGCCAAGUAGCAGGUCGUUCUCUCACUCAGAGCGUCUCCCGAGUCUAGAAUUUUACAAUAACAACGAUUUACUUACAUGCGCUCAAAUUCUCGAUCUUGAAUGGAUUUUAGUCGGCAAAAAUGCGCCUCCUGGAGAAAAUGAUUUAGGGGAAACAGAGUAUGUCAUUUAACUAGAAAACUAACAAGAUCUUCCAAGAAAGAAGAAAAAGAAUAAGAACAGGGAUAUCACAUCCACGGCGUUGCAUCGCCCAUCUUGCCGGAAGAAAGAAAAAAAGAAAAGAAAAGAGGAUUAAAGCAAGAUCCGGAGAGACAAACCUGAUCAUGCAAUCGGAUGAGUAUGGAACCCCAGCACCGUGCAGCGGCACCGGAUCCAGGCGCAGUCGCUUUGUUUGGAUGGUUUCGAGCUCAUCCACAGCAGGCUAGACAGCUUUUUGGUGCAGGGAUUUGUUUAGGGUAAUGG